rnacentral:rRNA from 1 species
GUCGAGCGAACAGACGAGGAGCUUGCUCCUCUGACGUUAGCGGCGGACGGGUGAGUAACACGUGGAUAACCUACCUAUAAGACUGGGAUAACUUCGGGAAACCGGAGCUAAUACCGGAUAAUAUAUUGAACCGCAUGGUUCAAUAGUGAAAGACGGUUUUGCUGUCACUUAUAGAUGGAUCCGCGCCGCAUUAGCUAGUUGGUAAGGUAACGGCUUACCAAGGCAACGAUGCGUAGCCGACCUGAGAGGGUGAUCGGCCACACUGGAACUGAGACACGGUCCAGACUCCUACGGGAGGCAGCAGUAGGGAAUCUUCCGCAAUGGGCGAAAGCCUGACGGAGCAACGCCGCGUGAGUGAUGAAGGUCUUCGGAUCGUAAAACUCUGUUAUUAGGGAAGAACAAAUGUGUAAGUAACUAUGCACGUCUUGACGGUACCUAAUCAGAAAGCCACGGCUAACUACGUGCCAGCAGCCGCGGUAAUACGUAGGUGGCAAGCGUUAUCCGGAAUUAUUGGGCGUAAAGCGCGCGUAGGCGGUUUUUUAAGUCUGAUGUGAAAGCCCACGGCUCAACCGUGGAGGGUCAUUGGAAACUGGAAAACUUGAGUGCAGAAGAGGAAAGUGGAAUUCCAUGUGUAGCGGUGAAAUGCGCAGAGAUAUGGAGGAACACCAGUGGCGAAG